CAAUAAAUCCAGGUAUCCUGAUCUAACUUACAAGUCUACGUUUUAUAGAGAUAGAUGCAAAAUGGAUAUUAAAGUACUGAAAACGUUCAUGUUUUUCUGUUUGAUUGGACUAUGCAUCGGCAGGUAUACCACUACAACACCAGCCCCGGAUUCAACGCUGAGCGGCGGCAUGAUUGCUGGCAUUGGGACCGGUGUGUUUAUGACCAUCGUUUUCUGCGUUGUUUGUUUUUGUUGCUGUUUCGGGGCUACACCAGUGCACGUGGCAAGUUAGCACCACCACCACCAAAAAAAACAACAACAAAAAAACAACAACAACAAAAACGGACAAAUCGGUCAUUAUAUCUGUUCCUCACCAUCUUGGAAACUUCCAUUGUGAUAUUAAACUAUUGCUGACGCCAUUGGCGAUUGCUAAUGUACUUUGCCUCUUAUGAAGUUUAAAUACACAAUCAUUAUGUAUUUACUAGUAAUUUUAAUGUUUUAAAGUUAAUUUAUUGUAUAUGAAUGUCAAAGUGAUGCUCAUCUCAGGAUGAUACUUAAUUUAACAGUAUUUUUAAGAUUUCACGCAAUUUACAUUUGUUGAUUUUGAUUCGUUAUAUUCAUAUUACAAGUACAAUGUAAGAAUUGUCUUUUUAGCUAUCCUGUCUUGUAUGAACAUAUGCGUAUACAUGUAUAAUUAUAAACUAAAAUCAUUUUGAAAU